rnacentral:rRNA from 1 species
CCUACGGUGGGCUGCAGUGGGGAAUAUUGGACAAUGGGCGAAAGCCUGAUCCAGCCAUGCCGCGUGUGUGAAGAAGGCCUUCGGGUUGUAAAGCACUUUCAGUGGGGAAGAAAGCCUUGGGGCUAAUACCCUCGAGGAAGGACAUCACCCACAGAAGAAGCACCGGCUAACUCCGUGCCAGCAGCCGCGGUAAUACGGAGGGUGCGAGCGUUAAUCGGAAUUACUGGGCGUAAAGCGCGCGUAGGCGGUCUGAUAAGCCGGUUGUGAAAGCCCCGGGCUCAACCUGGGAACGGCAUCCGGAACUGUCAGGCUAGAGUGCAGGAGAGGAAGGUAGAAUUCCCGGUGUAGCGGUGAAAUGCGUAGAGAUCGGGAGGAAUACCAGUGGCGAAGGCGGCCUUCUGGACUGACACUGACGCUGAGGUGCGAAAGCGUGGGUAGCAAACAGGAUUAGAUACCCCUGUGUC